rnacentral:lncRNA from 1 species
CUCACAACAAUAAAUUAGUGCUAGAGGAAGGAGAUUUAUCUAAAAAUUUUAUAGAAAAUUGAUGAAUCGAAGAGUACAAAAUAACUCUAUGCCUUCAUCGUCUUCCCUUGAAGGUGUGCCAGAAGUAGUUUCACCUCCAAAACAGCUAGAUGGUCCCACCAUCCAUGAACUGGCUGAUGUCGACUAAUGCUGUCUGAACCAUCCCAAUCGGGCUCAAAC